rnacentral:rRNA from 1 species
AGAGUUUGAUCCUGGCUCAGGAUGAACGCUAGCGGCAGGCCUAACACAUGCAAGUCGAGGGAGAAGCCUUCGGGCUGAAACCGGCGCACGGGUGCGUAACGCGUAUACAAUCUGCCUUUCACAUAGGGAUAGCCCGAAGAAAUUUGGAUUAAUACCUAAUGGUAUAUAGGAGCGGCAUCGUUUUUAUAUUAAAGCUACGGUGGUGAAAGAUGAGUAUGCGUUCUAUUAGCUAGUUGGAGAGGUAACGGCUCCCCAAGGCGAUGAUAGAUAGGGGUUCUGAGAGGGAUGUCCCCCACACUGGUACUGAGAUACGGACCAGACUCCUACGGGAGGCAGCAGUGAGGAAUAUUGGACAAUGGUCGGAAGACUGAUCCAGCCAUGCCGCGUGCAGGAUGAAGGUCUUAUGGAUUGUAAACUGCUUUUGUAAGGGAAGAAUAAGGGCUACGCGUAGUUUGAUGACGGUACCUUACGAAUAAGCAUCGGCUAACUCCGUGCCAGCAGCCGCGGUAAUACGGAGGAUGCGAGCGUUAUCCGGAAUCAUUGGGUUUAAAGGGUCCGUAGGCGGGCUAAUAAGUCAGAGGUGAAAGCGCUCAGCUCAACUGAGCAACUGCCUUUGAAACUGUUAGUCUUGAAUGGUUGUGAAGUAGUUGGAAUGUGUAGUGUAGCGGUGAAAUGCUUAGAUAUUACACAGAACACCGAUAGCGAAGGCAUAUUACUAACAAUUAAUUGACGCUGAUGGACGAAAGCGUGGGGAGCGAACAGGAUUAGAUACCCUGGUAGUCCACGCUGUAAACGAUGGAUACUAGCUG